GACGAACGCUGGCGGCGUGCUUAACACAUGCAAGUCGAGCGGUAAGGCCCUUUCGGGGGUACACGAGCGGCGAAACGGGUGAGUAACACGUGGGUGACCUGCCCUCAGCUCUGGGAUAAGCCCGGGAAACUGGGUCUAAUACUGGAUAUGACUCCAUGACGCAUGUUGUGGGGUGGAAAGCCUUGUGCGGCUGAGGAUGGGCCCGCGGCCUAUCAGCUUGUUGGUGGGGGAUGGCCUACCAAGGCGACGACGGGGUAGCCGGCCUGAGAGGGCGACCGGCCACACUGGGACUGAGACACGGCCCAGACUCCUACGGGAGGCAGCAGU
rnacentral:rRNA from 1 species